UUACUUUGGCAGAUUAGUGUAUUUGAUUUAGAAUCAUUUUAAGUAAAGUUUUUACAGGUAAUAN
rnacentral:tRNA from 6 species